AUGCAGCACACUUUGAGAAAAGACUGACUCAGCAUGUUGUUCUGAUAAACAUCUGCAUCCAUCCUCUUCGUUGUUUUACAGAAAGCAUCACUUCCUGGUCUGCCUGAGGGUCCCUGUUCUCCCUGUGGUCCCGGGGGUCCUUCUCGACCAGGCUCUCCUGGUGGUCCGGGAACUGUGCGGACUGACACCGGAGGACUCGGCACGUGGUUCAGGAUGCUGUUGUAGCGCGCCAUGUGGCCUGAAAACAUUCCAGGAGGUCCCUGCAAGAGAAACAAAUUCAUGAAAAACAAGGAAAAAAACCACAAACUUGUGAAGCAUCGAACACAAGAUGAAGCAGGUGAUUCUCUCGUCAGGACAGCAUGUUGAUCAUCUUGCUGUCCUCACUAAACUCCAGCCUGCUUGUUUGUGUCAUUAAUUUAAAAUAU